AUUGAACGCUGGCGGCAGGCCUAACACAUGCAAGUCGAGCGAGCGGCGGACGGGUGAGUAAUGUCUGGGAAACUGCCUGAUGGAGGGGGAUAACUACUGGAAACGGUAGCUAAUACCGCAUACCAUCAGAUGUGCCCAGAUGGGAUUAGCUAGUAGGUGGGGUAACGGCUCACCUAGGCGACGAUCCCUAGCUGGUCUGAGAGGAUGACCAGCAACACGUGAACUGAGACACGGCCCAGACUCCUACGGUAGGCAGCAGUGGGGAAUAUUGCACAAUGGGCGCAAGCCGGAUGCAGCCAUGCCGCGUGUAUGAAGAAGGCCGUAGGGUUGUAAAGCACUUUCAGUGGGGAGGCGUUACCCGCAGAAGAAGCACCGGCUAACUCCGUGCCAGCAGCCGCGGUAAUAC
rnacentral:rRNA from 1 species